ACCAUGUUCUUAAUUAUGUGUUUUAUGCCAGGUGUCUGUUUGGGCAAGAUGAUCCAAAAAAAACACGUACUGAUCAAAUUUACUUCUAAUAAGCUUUCUCCGUUUUGUAACCAUAAUUACAGAUUUGUGCUGCCAAAGGAAUAGUUCAUUCAUAAAUUAAAGUUCAUGAAUGUUCUGGUAUCAUUUACUAACCCUCAUUUUGUUUCAAACAUGAAUGACUUGUAUUUCCGAUCAAAAGUUUGGGGUGUGUAAGAUUUCAAAAUAUUUUCACAAGAAGUCUCUUAUACCUACCAAGGCUGCAUUUAUUUGAUUAAUAAUAAAAGCAUUAAUAAUAAAAUUUCUGCACAGUUAAAAUAGAAAAUAGAAAGUUCAAAAGAACAGAUCCUUUUAUUGCAUCCUUGCUUAAAAGUAUUGUCUUUCAAAAAAAAAAAAAAAAAAAAAAAAGUUACUGACCCCAAACUUUUAAAUGAUAGUGUACUGAAGAAAGGAGAAAUUUUGAAUAAUUUACUGGUUGGUCUUGUCCAUCCAAUUACAAUAAAUAGAAACUGAAGCUUUCAAACUAACAAAACAAUUUAAAAGAUCCAUGAACGUAUCACAAAUGUGGUCCGUAUGACUCGCUAUGUACCAAGUGUUUGUGUAAGGAACAGACUAAGCUGGAGAAAUUAAUGAUUAAUGAAUGAAUCAUUCAUACUCGUUUUGUUACUUGGAUUAAGUGAUUUAUUAUAAGUCAGAAGAACAUUUUGUUUGUGAAUCGGACAUUGCUACUUCUCUCAUGAACUGUAAUGAACUCGCGGCCUUUAGAGUUUUUUUCUGUUCCUCGCUUGGGUAAAAAAUGUUUGAAAUGCGUGACCAGCGAUAUACUGUUAGCGAACAUCCUGACGCCACCCACACUGCUGAGAGUGGCGUUUAGAUGAAUAUGUUAAUAUGUCCACGCUUUCCUUUCAACAGCAAUAUAAACACACAACAAAAAUGACAGCGGUGAGAAAACAGCAGUUAAGAAAGCAUCUGAUCAUAGCGAUAUGGACAUGUUUGCACCAGCUCUGGAAUUCAGUACCCCAAUAAAGUCACAUCAUGCUUAUUUAUAUAGCACAUUAUACAAAAGAUUGUUUUAAAGCAAGCAGCUUUACAGUAUUAAACAUGAAGAACAGUGUCAGUGUCUCUUUCAGUUAGAAUUACAACUUCAAUUUCUACUAUAAAGCGACUCUUCAGUGUAUUCAUGUUUUUACUUGCGGAUGUCUGACCUCGAUCAACUGAACAGAAGAAGAUUGCCAUGUCAAAGAAGGUGGAGUCUUAGAGCCACACCUACCUAUUACAUUAUCUUCAUGUACCAGUGGUAGUUUGGUGUUUACCAUCCAGAGCAAACUUGUCUGGAAAGUUUGCUUUGGCAAACUGUUUUGAACUCCCGAAACAAACACAACACACACUUUGUUUUGGCCUGAUUUUUUUUUAAAGGGGGCCUAUAUUGCCCCUUUUCACAAGAUGUAAUAUAAGUCUCUGGUAAGCAGCCCAACAUGGCCUCACUCCCUUUGUUGUGUGUUCUCGGGGGCAGGGUUUAUGUAAAUUUUAUGGUUAGUGAUGUCACUAACCUGGGAAGAAGCUUGUUGUAGUCCCUUACCAGCCGUUUGUUGUAGUCCUUAAACAGUGAAUUCUUUAAAAGAAAAUAUCUCCCUUUCAAUUGAACUUUGAGCGUUGUAAAUUUGCAGACGUUGUUUAUGCUCUAACAGCAACAUUACACACUAACUAAAGUUAAAAAAGUGAAAUCAUAAUCAACCACCCCUUUAAAAUGAUGUCACACCAGUUCGCUCUUCGAUUUUACUUGAAGUAUAUCGGGCCCUUAGGGAGAGAGAGCUAGGGAUGGAUGUCAUGUUAUCAGUUAUAUUUAAAUUUCACUUAAAUGUCAUUAAAAAUAUAUUUUAAAUUGUCUUAAAAUAUUAAAUUUUUCAGUUACAGUUUACAUUUUUGUCUGUUCCUUACACAAAAAGAUUAUGGUGCUAUUUUGUUAUUUUGGACCUAAUUCUCAUUCACUAACUAUAAGAAUGGCUAGAGUAUUCUUCAGAAAUGUAACUUUGAUUUUCCAUUGAUGAAAAAGGUUUUGGAACAACAUGAAGGUAAAUUAAUAAUAAUCAUUUUGAGGUGAACUAUUCCUUUAGGGUGUGUUUGCCACACUUGGCACGUUUGGUUUGAUUAAAACAAACUGGUUGCUCUGGUAGUGCUGUUCUUUUUUUAUAAGUGUGAACGCUGCCAUCCGAACCCUGGUGCGUUUUGACACCCUUGACUCCUUAAAAAUACCAUAAAAUGUACGCAUUAUGAAUGUUGGGAGGUUCUGUCGCAAAAUAUACAUCAUAAUAGCAAUUUUUUUUGUUUUUUAUCUUUAUGUUCUGUGUUAAAAAUGGCUGUGUAAGCGCUAAGCGAACCAGGACUAAUGGCUCAUUUCCACCAAGUGGUACAGUACAGUAUGAUUUGGGAUGGCAAACCCUGAUCUGGUUUCCACCGCCAACAGUACCCUUACUUGAUUAGGUGUAUGCCGGAAAGUAGCGAUCGAUGUCAUUCUUGUGCGAAGAAGAAAGCGAUACAGUAAACAACAAUAAAGUACAUACAGCAGAUCUUGUUCUUGCUUCUCGGCAUGUACAAUGGUACGUUGCUGCAUGCCGACAUUGUGUUAAAAACCGUAUUGUAUUUCAACUAUAUAUUUAAAAAAUGGCGCCUGUUUUUCAUUCCGCUUGUAGUAUGCGCAAGUGUUGAUUAUCUGUCAAUCAAUCAAAGUUCUGCAGUGAGUCUAGCUCCACCCUUUAGGUACUGGACUACUGUGCGAGGUACCCCAAUGGAAGGGUCCCAAAAAAGUGGUACUAUAUGGUUCGUUUUUUUGGUACCAUUAACAAUUUCUGACAGUCGAAAGGACUGUCUGUGUCAGUAUUUAUUACUUUUGAUACAGCUUGCGUAGUCUAUGAUUAGCCCUAAUGUUUGUUUGGGAAACACAUAAUUAGUUUUCUGGUGACAUACCAACAGUGUCAUGUUUGUUCUAGAUUGUAUAACACAAUAACUGAUUUAGGAUGUCAAGGAUACACUGUUUACUGCCCAAACCUUUGCAGCAAUUGCUACGACACCUUUCAUAACAUAUAAAAUCAACCGUUACAUCACACUGGACAUUCCUGCCCUGUAGGGAGUUUCUGCAUUAUUAGGUCUAUGUCUUAUUUGCCACCUGGUCUGGUUUUGUUCCUACUGUAGCUGUGUUCAGGCAAGAUUAAACAAUCUGCAGGUUUUCUAGUUUAGUAUGUGAAAAAAUAUUUCUCUUAAGUGUUUCCUUGCAUGUUUCCACACCAUUUUUGACACCCCAGUCUGCAUUGCUUAAAUGAUUUCAACCACAAAGUGCGUCAUGAACACAAGUGUUGGGGAAAAAUAGGGCAGGGAUGUACUAUGCUUCUCCAUAUAACUUCCUUGUGACUGAAUUGCAUGCUGACAUUGGACUAAAUAACGCUGGCCUGCAUUUUGCCGCGUGGCAUGUCGUCAGCACCCAGAUACACUAAUAACUUAUUCAUGUAGGCAUGCAUGCAGAUAUAUACAUGGGCAUGUAAUGCAUUACAUGACCAUAUAGUUAAUUUUUUUAAAUCAACAUCAAUAUUUUUGGUAAAAAUGUAUUUAUGUAUAAGAAUGUGAUUGCGAGGUUUCAGCUCAAAAUACUCCACAGAUCAUUUAUUAUAGCUUGUCAAAUUUGCACCUGUUGGUGUGAGAAAAAACAUGCCGUUUUUGUGUGUGUCACUUUAAAUGCAAAUGAGCUGCUGCCCCUGGCCCCCUUUCCAGAAGAGGGCGGAGCUUUAACAGCUUGCACUUUGGUUGGUCAACAACAACAAAGCAGGAGAAAGAAGAUUUUUGCACUGACCCUCCGAGGCAUGGACUCUACAAGACCCCUGAAGUUGUCCUGUGGUAUCUGGCACUAGCAGCAGAUCCUUCAAGUCCUGUAGGCUGCAAGGCGGAGCCGCCAUGGAUCGAACUUUUUAGUCCAGCACAUCCCACAGAUACUCAAUUGGAUUGAGAUCUGGGGAAUUUGGAUGCCAGGGCAACACCUUGAGCUCUUCAUCAUGUUCCUCAUACUAUUCCUGAACAAUGUGUGCAGUGUGGCAGGGUGCUUUAUCCUGCUGAAAGAGGCCACUUCCACCAUGGAACACCAUUGUCAUGAAGGGAUGUACCUGGUCUGCAGCAAUGUUUAUGUAGGUGGCACGUGUCAAAUUGGCAUCCACAUGAAUGGCUGGACCCUCAGCAGAUCAUUGCCCAAGCAUCAAACUCCCUCCACCGGCUUGUCGUUGCCCCACAGUGAAUUCUGGUGCCAUCACUUCCCUAGAUAAAUGGUGCACAUGUACACGGCCGUCCAUGUGAUGUUAAAGAAAAUGGGACUCAUCGGACUAGGCAACCUUCUUUCGCUGCUCCAAGGUCCAGUUCCGACACUUGCAUCUACCGACGGUAGACAGGGGUCAUGAUAGGCACUCUGAUUGGUCUGCAGUUACACAGCCCCAAAUCCAGCAGGGUGCGAUGCACUAUAUGUUGUCCCACUAUAAAAAUUUGGUUUGACUUGUUCCACAGUAUUACGAGAACUGAUUGUUUGCUUACAAUCAGCCCCUAAAACAUUACCUUUAAAUUCAUCCUGCAUUUCAUCCGUUCAUGCAGAUGGUUGUCUUUAGAUGUUGUCACAUUUCUUUCUUUAAUGUUUUUUUAUUUUUAUUUUGAGCAUCCCACCAUCACCAUUGUUUUCAAUGUUUUAAAGACUGUUUUUAAAGACUUUUAAAGUGUAUCAAGUUAAAAAUACCUCAUCACAAUCUGAAGUCAUGUUCUUGGCUUCAAACACAGCUUAAUGGACUGCAACAUAAUGGAACAGAAACUAAAUGUCUCGCUCACUGAAAUCAGGUAAACCUGAAACCAGCCAAAUUAUUCAAGGCUUCCUUAAGAUUAGUCGAAUAGUCAUUCAUUGCAUCACCCCCCAUUCAAAAAGCAGAUUGAAUGUGUAUAUAUAUAUAUAUAUAUAUAUAAUUAUUUUAUUUUAUUUUUUUAUUUUUUUUUAUAAAAGCUCUUGAUAUAUAUUAUCACUCUGCAGGAGAACUUCCCAGAAGGAUUUCAUGUCACAUAUCUUCUUUGUUUGUACAGAACUUUUUUCCAUUAAUGGUAUAACCUUUAGACAAUGACCUAAAUGAUUCACAGGAUACUAAAUACUGUGCUGAUGUGCAUGUUGGUGAUAAGUGGUGGACUUUUCCUGUGAUCGAUGUCUUGAAAGCCAGCUCAGAAUAAAUAUUGGCUGGUCUCUGAUGAA